UGGGUACAGGCCAAAGCGCUUCGCAAGUAGAAAAUAGAUGGCUCGCUCGCUAACUUACAUUUCGUCGACAGAUGGAGGAGAGGUCUUAUCGUUGAUCGUUACUUUUUCAGAAUGUUGUCGUUCGGAUGCGGCCUUUUCAGCAGUUUCCUUCUCGAGUUCUGGGAUAGGCGUGUUGUCCCAGUCAGAACGAACGUAGGCUUCCGAGUCGGUAGCGUCUUCACGAGAAGCGUUUUCUUUAGGUGGAAUAACAUCUUCCUCUUGGGGAUUUCGAGAGUGUACUGAACUAGCGAAAAAACGAUUAGCGGCAACGACAGGGUUUUGAAUUGGAAGAGAACAAGCCUUUCUCGCCGUGGGCAAACCAAGUUUAACGGUUUGCACGAUCAGUUGGGUACUAUGUCUGAGGCUCAUAAUGAAAGGACAAGGAUAAUAAUCGACAAGUUAGAUUUAAUAGAAGAAGAAACAA